rnacentral:lncRNA from 1 species
AGAUGAGUGAGGUACCCAGUGGUUGUAGAAUGUGAAUGGAUACCAGGGAAGGGUGGUCUACCCAGAAAUAGACUGAUUAGUUCUCUCAGAGAAACAUAGCACACAAGCAUUUCACCAUGAAAGGAAGGAUAUAGUGAAGUCCUCCAAGGUUUCCUCAGGGAUUGGCUGUGACUGGUGUUUUUGUUUGUGACCUGUACAAUGGAGAGGAUCCUGAGAUGACAAUCCCCCAUCAGAGUGACACAGACCAUAAUUCAAAAUGAUCUUGACAGAAUUGGAGUUUAAGAAAAAACAAGAGUAUCUUCUCUAAGUGCAUUUUUGAAAUGGAAGAAGGAGAAGACUUGACCUUCAGCAAGGAAGUUUCAAUUUGAGCUGCAGAGACUCUGUCAUUUGGGCUGACUUCAUUGUCAAAUAUUCAUCAGGAAUGUCAGGAAUGUCUUGGGCAGGGAGAUGGGUGGACCAGGCUUCAAAAUGGAAUUAGUCUGCAAGAACAUGGUAGAAAGGCAAAAUAUAAUUGCUGAAGAGAGAAAUUGGCAAGGAGUUAAGACUUGUCUAUCAUUUGUCAUCUAUCAGUUGCAGAGGAGGAAUAAAUGACUCUUGUUAGACUCUGAGAUGGUUUGUAUUAAGACAGAGUUUAUUGUGUUUAAUGGCAUUUGAACCUUCCAUAAGACCAUAUGUUUCAGCCUUGUGUACUCUGUUUUAGAAAACAGUUGCAGAUGGAAUUUCCUAGAAAUAAAUGAUGCUGUGGGUUGAUUGAUACA